rnacentral:rRNA from 1 species
UGGGGAAUCUUGGACAAUGGGCGAAAGCCUGAUCCAGCCAUGCCGCGUGGAUGAUGAAGGCCCUAGGGUUGUAAAAUCCUUUCGUUGGGGACGAUAAUGACGGUACCCAAAGAAGAAGCUCCGGCUAACUUCGUGCCAGCAGCCGCGGUAAUACGAAGGGGGCUAGCGUUGUUCGGAUUUACUGGGCGUAAAGCGCGUGUAGGCGGAUUUGUAAGUUGGGGGUGAAAUCCCGAGGCUCAACCUCGGAACUGCCUCCAAAACUACAAAUCUGGACUCAAGUAGAGGCAAGUGGAAUUGCGAGUGUAGAGGUGAAAUUCGUAGAUAUUCGCAGGAACACCAGUGGCGAAGGCGACUUGCUGGACUUGUAGUGACGCUGAGACGCGAAAGCGUGGGGAGCAAA